rnacentral:rRNA from 1 species
UACGUAGGGUGCGAGCGUUGUCCGGAAUUAUUGGGCGUAAAGAGCUUGUAGGCGGUCUGUCGCGUCUGCUGUGAAAAUCCGGGGCUCAACCCCGGACUUGCAGUGGGUACGGGCAGACUAGAGUGUGGUAGGGGAGACUGGAAUUCCUGGUGUAGCGGUGAAAUGCGCAGAUAUCAGGAGGAACACCGAGUGGCGAAGGCAGGUCUCUGGGCCAACUACUGA